UUUUAACUUCUUUUUUCUGUAGUGGAGGAGAAAAUAAACUAGUGACACCAGAACAAAUCUUCAUGGACUAUCUGCUGCACUUGUCUCGGUGGAACAUUGAACGAAUGAAACCCCAAUUCUUUUGGAAACGGUGGGAUUAGACAAUAGUCAUUAGAGGUUAUUUUACCCAAAUCACCCAAAAAAUUUAAUUACGUAAAUAACCUCUGUUCAAAAAUAAUUAUUUAAAUAACUUAAAAUGAACAGUAAAUAUGAGUUGAGAUAAUAAAUGACCGACAUCAGAUAAAUUUUUGAAACAAUCAUUGUUUAAUGAUUGUGUCAGGUAGUUAAAAAAUGAUUUUGACCUAUACUCUUAUAUUUUUUUGACCUUGUAUCAUAUUGGUAUACGUUUAUACUAGUAUUCGAAAACAAAUUUUAAGUGUUGGCACACUGAUAGCUCGACAUUCCUCUAUCAAAUUUUUUUUUGUGUUGGUACACCAAUGAUUGACACCACUUUAAAAUUUAUAAUAAAAAAU
rnacentral:lncRNA from 1 species